GAUCUUUUUUGGUGAAGAAAUUAAAAUUAAGAAGUUUGUUCAACUUCUAAAUUCCUACAUGAUCUGAGUUCAGACCGGCGUGAGCCAGGUUGGUUUCUAUCUUAAUUUAGUUUUAAAAAUUUUUUUAGUACGAAAGGAAUUAAAAGUAUUAAGAUAUUUAAUUAUAAUUAUAAUAAAAAAAUUAA
rnacentral:rRNA from 1 species